rnacentral:lncRNA from 1 species
CGAGAAGCAAGAGAAGGCUGUGGAGUGUAGCAGAAGACUUUGUGUUGUAACCAGCUUCUUUGAGACCUUCUAUGAGUCUACAAUAUGUGUGAGUAUCCAGCUUGUGUGAGUCUUUUGUGAGUCUCCUUCGAGUCCUUGUAUACUGUUAGUUCCUGGGUUAUCAUAGUUAAAGGCUACGAAUACAGGUAAAACCGUCUUCUUUGAAACGUGGUAAGCUAUUGCAUGUAACCAUCUACAUGUGCAUGUAAGUGAUAAGAAACAGACACAAAUUCCUUGGUGCGCAAGCUCGAUAUCCAAAAAAGUGAUAUGGGCCACUGGUAAGGCAUGUCAGCUGCUAACAAUAAUGGCGGAUGAGAUGGACCACUAGUAGGGCAUGUUAGUUGCUAACCAGACUGACGGAUAAGGGAUCACUAAUAGGGCAUGUUAGUUGCUAAACAGAAUGGCGGAUAUGUCGGGUCACUGGGAGGGCAUGUUAUUUGUUAAACCAGUCUAGCGAUAUAGGUUUUGCCAUCGGUAGGGCAUGUUAAUUGUUAACCAUGACAGAACGCUCUGACCUUGUAAGGAAACACGCAUAUGUUCAAAAUAACAAGGAUUGAGAUAUCGAUUUUGAAGCGUAAAUAUGGGAUCUGAGGCUAGCACAAGAAAGGGUGUGAAAAAGAGUAAGAAAAUGUGAACACUGAUAUGUUGCACGAGGUGCAUGUUAUGACAAUGUGAAUCUGGACUUAUUGCAUGUAAUGCAUGUUAUGUAUAUUUAAAGUGAGGAAUGAGAC